CCUCUAAUGUUCUCGGGUACGUGGGUAUAUAUAGAAGGAAGAAGUAGGUCGGUGGAUGCCCGAGGGGCCCACGAGAUAGGGGGCGCGCCUAGUAGGGGGGGCGCCCUCCACCCUUGUGGCCUCCUCGAUUGCUUCCUGACUUGCACUCCAAGUCCUCUGGAUCACAUUUGUUCCAAAAAGAUCGCUUCCGAAGGUUUUAUUCCGUUUGGACUCCGUUUGGCAUUCCUUUUCUUCGAAACACUGAAAUAGGCAAAAAAACAGCAAUACGGGAUGGGCCUCCGGUUAGUAGGUUAGUCCCAAAAAUGAUAUAAAAGUGUAAAGUAAAGCCCAUAAACAUCCAAAACGGGUAAUAUAAUAGCAUGGAACAAUAAAAAAUUAUAGAUACGUUGGAGACGUAUGAAGCAUCUCCAAGCUUAAUUCCUGCUCGUCCUUGAAUAGGUAAAUGAUAAAAACAGAAUUUUUUAUGUGGAAUGCUACCUAGCAUAAUUCUCAAUGUAAUUUUCUAUAUUGUGGCAUGAUUGUUCAGAUCGAAAUGAUUCAAGAAAAAAGCUUAUAAAACAUAAAAAUAGUAAUACUUCGAAGCAUACUAACAAACAAUCAUGUCCUAUCAAAAUAGCAUAGCCAAAGAAAGCUUAUCCCUACAAAAUCAUAUAGUUAGGCCAUGCUUCAUUUUCAUUACACAAAAUACUCCCAUCAUGCACAACCCCGAUGACGAGCCGAGCAAUUGGUUCAUACUUUUUAACGCGCUUCAGCUUUUUUCAACUCUUAUGCAAUACAUGAGCGCAAGCCAUGGACAUAGCACUAUGGUGGUAUAUGGUGGUGGCUUUGAGGACAAAAAGGGAGAAGAUAGUCUCACAUCAACUAGGCGUAUCAACGGGCUAUGGAGAUGCCCAUCAAUAGAUAUCAAUGUGAGUGAGUAGGGAUUGUCAUGCAACGGAUGUACUAGAGCUAUAAAUGUAUGAAAGCUCAACAAAAGAAACUAAGUGGUUGUGCAUCCAACUUGCUUGCUCACGAAGACCUAGGGCAUUUUGAGGAAGCCCAUCAUUAGAAUAUACAAGCCAAGUUCUAUAAUGAAAAAUUCCCACUAGUAUAUGAAAGUGACAACACAAGAGACUCUCUAUCAUGAAGAUCAUGGUGCUAUUUUGAAGCACAAGUGUGGAAAAGAGAUAGUAGCAUUGUCCCUUCUCUCUUUUUCUCUCAUUUCUUUUUUUAUUUGGCCUUUCUUUUUUUUGGCGGGCUCUUUGCCUCUUUUUUUCUUUUUUUUUUAAAGUCCGAAGUCUCAUCCCAACUUGUAGGGGAAUCAUAGUAUUCAUCAUCCUUUCCUCACUUGGGACAAUGCUCUGAUAAUGAAGAUCAUCACACAUUUAUUAAUUUACAACUCGAGAAUUACAACUCAACACUUAGAAUAAAAUAUGACUCUAUAUGAAUGCCUCCGGCGGUGUACCGGGAUAUGCAAUGAAUCAAGAGUGACAUGUAUGAAAAUUAUGAGGGUGGCCUUGCCACAAAUACGAUGUCAACUACAUGAUCAUGCAAAGAGCAAUAUGACAAUGAUGGAGCGUGUCAUAAUAACGGAACGGUGGAAAGUUGCAUGGCAAUAUAUCUCGGAAUAGCUAUGGAAAUGCCAUAAUAGGUAGGUAUGGUGACUGUUUUGAGGAAGGUAAAUAAUGGGUUCAUAAUACCGGCGAAAGUUGCGCGGCACAAUAGAGGCUAGCAAAGUGGAAGGGUGAGUGUGCGUAUAUCCAUGGACUCACAUUAGUCAUAAAGAACUCAUAUACUUAUUGCAAAAGUCUACUUAGCCCUCGAAGAAAAGUACUACUACGCAUGCCCCUAGAGGGAUAGAUUGGUAGGAAAAGACCAUCGCUCGUCCCCGACUGCCACUCAUAAGGAAGACAAUCAAAAGAGCACCUCAUGCAACAAAUUUGUCACACAACUUUUACCAUACGUGCAUGCUAUUGGACUUGCCAACUUCAACACAAGUAUUUCUCAAUUUCAUAAUUACCCACAAGCAUGACUCUAAUAUUACAACCUCCAUUUCUCGAAACAAUUAUCAAGCAUCAAAUUGAUUGUGACGCCCCCGAUUCAAUCGUACACUAGUUAUACACGCAAAUGUGUACGAUCAAGAUCAGGGACUCACAGGAAGAUAUCACAACACAACUCUAGACACAAAUAAAAUAAUACAAGCUUUAUAUUACAAGCCAGGGGCCUCGAGGGCUCGAAUAAAAGCUCGAUACACAAGAGUCAGCGGAAGCAACAAUAUCUGAGUACAGACAUAAGUUAAUCAAGGAUGCCUUAAGAAGGCUAGCACAAACAUCAACGAUCGAAGAGGCAAGGCCUCCUGCCUGGGACCUCCUAACUACUCCUGGUCGUCGGCGGGCUCCACGUAGGAGAAGGCACCCUCUGGGUAGUAGUAGUAGUUGGCAGGGGUGGCAUCUGGCUCCAUGGAUCCACCUUCUGGUUGCAUCAACCGAAAGAAGAAAGAAGGGGGGGAAAGGGGUAGCAAAGCAACCAUGAGUACUCAUCCAAAGUACUCGCAAGCAUCAGAUCUAUACUAAGUAUGCACUGGUAUCAAAUGGAAGGUUUGUAUCUGUGGACUGAACUGCAGAAUGCCAGGAUAGAAGGGGAAAGCCUAGCCUAUGGAAGACUAGCAUCUUCACGCAGCUCCAAUGCAUCUUGCAGCAUGUAGAAGAGUAAAGAAUAGCAGUUUAUAAUUAACAAGCAUGUUGUAACAUUAAUGCCCAGAGAUCCUUCCUCGACUCCCUGCGAGAAAGUAAUCCCGGAGCCACAUAUUCAAGUAUCCAUUUGUAGUUGUAUUAGAUCAGGGUAUAAGUCUGAACGUCUGUUACUGUGGACACGGCUAUUAAUAGAUAAUCUUCCCUGCAGGGGUGCACCACGUUUGCCAACACGCUCGAUCACGUUGGCCGGACACACCUUUCUGGGGUCAAUGCCCGGCCUCGGAAGAUCAACACGUCGCAGCCCUACCUAGGCUCAGUAGAGAGGUCCCCGCCAGUCUACAUCCUAAGCGCUCCGGGGUCUGGGCCCAUCGCCCGUUGCACUCCGGAUCGUUACGUGCAGGGCGGACCUAGGCACCACCACUGGGGUGCCGGCCCAGCCGUGCCGCAAUGCUGAACUGGACGUCUGAAAAAGCUUUGGCUGAUACCACGACGUCGAGGCCCAUAACUAUUCUCGUGUGGUGGUUAGUGCGUAAAGGCCAAAGGCCAACUCAGAACAAAUACCCAAACCUGUUAGUGCAUUAUUAAAAGGAGUGACAGCUGUCGGGACAAGUCCGGAGCUAUCACCCCUCCUGGGUGAUACCGCUAAACAGCCAGCCGCCACUAUCACAUCGCACGGGUGCUCUCCGGGCCCGCCCGGCCUUCACAACGGUCUCCAUUAAAGUCAAGGUAACUGUGUGUCCAGACAUCAAGGGGGAAACCCAAGGAAUCACCCUCGGAGGAUUCCACUCGAUGUAAUCAUCAAGGUGAACGUAAGAGGGACCACCCUCGAGGUUCACACUUGAGGUGUUGAACGACAGAGCCGUAUCGGAAAUGGUGAAAGAGGAACCACCCUCGAUGACCACACCGAAUAGCUACACUACAUAAUUAUCAUCAGGAGUGCAUUAAGAGGGAUCACCCUCGACACUCGAUAGUAGCUCUGCAGAGUCGAGCAACCAAAGGGGCGUGAUGUGAUGUGAGGUGUCAGGCUCUGGUCAUCGAUCACGUUGAUCGAGUCGUCGAUGAUGAAGCAGGGGCAACAAGGACAAGGUGGGGUCACUGACGGAUAACUAGCCAACAUAUACUAAGCAGUUUAGGGUAAGCAGGUAGGUAACAAUAGCAGGUACAAAAGCAGGCUAUGCAUCAAAAUAGGAGCAAACAAUAAUAGUAGCAAAAUCUAAUGCAAGCAUGAGAGUAUAGAAUGGGCAAUAUCGGGAUGAUCAAAGGGGGGGCUUGCCUGGUUGCUCAGACAAGAAGAAGGGGUCGUCGUCGACGUAGUUGAUCACAGCGGCAUCAACGGCGGUCUCGGGGUCUACCGGAGAAAAGAGGGGGAAGAAACAGUAAAUACAGGCAAACAUAUGCACAACAUGAUUAUAAGCGGGGCUAGAGGUGUUCUAACGCAGUGCUAGGCUCUACUGGCGAAGGGAGAAACAUCCGGGAAAGUUUUCCUGGUCCCGGACGUCAGUCAGACAGAUGAACCGGAGGGGAAACGUUGCAUGUUUGCUAUGCCAGGGAUGUGUGGCGGGCGAAUAGACCGCGUAUUCGGAUUCGUCUCGUCGUUCUGAGCAACUUUCAUGUAGAAAACUUUUUCAUCCGAGCUACGGUUUAAUUUCUAUUAAUUUUCAAAGAUUUAAACUAUUUCGGCAUUUAUUUUAAUUCGCAAAUAAACAGAAAAUACCAAGUGUACCCAGCCAUGUGCUAGCCACAGAGGCUGACUGGUGGGGUCCAGGGGGUGUCCAGUCAGCAGUUGACCAGUCAACUAUUGACUAGUCAACAGGGUUAAAUGGGGCCACAUGUCAUUUGCUCUAAAGAGUAAACUAGUACUAAAAUACUUCAAAACCAAAUUAGUCCUAAUUAACACAAGGGCCGGCCACGCACGGAAGUGGGCAGUGGCCAAGCUGGCCACACACACCACACACAGCACGCAACACACAAUUCUGUUUUCUAUUAACAUAAGAUAGCGUUUUGUGAUUUUCACAGGAAUUAAUCCAUGCAUCAAAUUGAUUUGGUCCAAUGGAAACAUUUUAGCUUUGACAAGUGUUCUACCUAGUAAAAUUAUUUUUUCUCCUGUUAACCGUGGUUUUGCCGCAGUUUAGGGGGUGUCCAAAGGGUUAGUCAGUGUAAAAUUUGAAAAGCUAGCUAGCACUAGCUACAGUACUAGCAUCAGUACAGCAAGUAGCCGCGGGAGCAAGCGGGCGGGAGCGCUGCAGGCGUGCGAGGCGCAGCAGCAGCCAUAAGUAGAGCAGCGGUAGCACACGGCGACGGCGACGUGCAGCGCGGCACGGCCGCGUGCGGCAGCGAUGGAUGCGGUGCGCGCCACGGAGCAGAGCAGGUGCGGUAGCGGCGUCAUCAGGCAGCUGCAGCUGCUGUAGGCAGCAGCGCAGCACGCAGCUGCGGGCGGUAGGGCCACUCAUGGGCGUCGCCGGAGCGGGGCGCAGGCGCAGUCGGGCAGGGAGGUGUGGGGCAUGGUCGGGCUGGGCGCGAUGCGGGCGUGGACGCGGACGGUGUGGUCGGGGCCGCGGGCGAGCAGGGGCCGCGGGCGAGGUGAGUGCGGCCCGGACGCAGUCACGGCGGCAAGACAGUGAGUAGUGGGCCACGGCGCAGCGCAGCGAGCGGGUGCGCGGGAGGCGAGGAGCACGAGGCCGUGCUCAUGGACGAGCCUGGCCGGCUAUGGCUGCGGUGACGAGGGGAAGCAACGACGGCGAGCUCGGCUACGCGGCGUCUACCACUUCGGGCGACUGAAGACGACGCCAAGGGAGGGAAGGGAGCGGGAGCUCACCGGGCGGCUCACGGAGGCCGGCGUCAGAUUAGUAGCUGCAGGGGUGGCCGGAGGUGAGGAAGGUCGACGGCGAGUUCGUGGUGGCCGACGGAGAAGAAGAAGCAGACGGCUUGGUGGCUGCUCCCCGGCUCGUCGGCUCGGUGUAGUCGACGCAGUCGUGGAUGAUGGGGUCCGUGGACGCCUCGGAGACGGACGGCGACGACGGUCGCCGCGGUGGUCGACGGUGGCGGCCACAACAAUACUUGUCGAUGGCGGAUCUGGAGAGGGAGGUGGAGCAGGAGGGAGAGGAUGGCAGAAUUUGGAGGAUGGUGGAGUGGGUGAGUGGGGAGGCAGGAAGAAGUGGGAGAGGGGAUCGAGGGGGCGCGAGCGCUGGAGGCCUUAUCCUCUCCCGGCGUCGCCGGCGAG
rnacentral:lncRNA from 1 species